rnacentral:rRNA from 1 species
CAGUCGCCACGGUAAUACGAGGGGUGCAAGCGUUAUUCGGAUUGAUUGGGUGUAAAGCGUGCGCAGGCGGUUUUGUAAGACAGGCGUGAAAUCCCCGGGCUCAACCUGGGAAUGGCGCUUGUGACUGCAAAGCUAGAGUGCGGCAGAGGGGGAUGGAAUUCCGCGUGUAGCAGUGAAAUGCGUAGAUAUGCGGAGGAACACCUAUGGCGAAGGCAAUCCCCUGGGCCUGCACUGACGCUCAUGCACGAAAGCGUGGGGAGCAAACAGGAUUAGAUACCCCCGUAGUCCCUGUCUCUUAUAC